UCUGCACAGAGACAAAAAGGUCAAAGAGACAUCAGCCGACGGUGACCUCGCUGAUUUAACGUCCUCUCAAAAGACUCCCGCAGCCUCAUGGAGGUCUCAUCAUCAUCAUCAUCGUUGUCGUCGUCUAGUCAUCGUCGUUGUCGCUGUCGUUGUACUGCGGGCGUUCAUCAGCUGUCUGAGCUGAGUUUUUGCAGGUUAUGACUUGAGAAAGAGAAAGAGAUGAAAGAGAGAAAAGAGGUGAAGAAGGACGGACAGGAGAGGAGUGGAGCAGCACUUUGAGAGGUGAAGAGCAUCAGCAGCAGGUUGACAGAUGGACGAGAAUCUGGCAGCUCCAUGGCUCAGGACAUGGUUUUAUUAGCGUCCACUAUCACAGGACGUCAGAUCAGACACAUAAAUCCCAAACAAAAGCUCAGACUUAUGAUGGAUUUACACGUCGCCACUCUCCUUUAAUGCUCCGACUCAAAGAGAAACCGUUAAAGUUUUAUGGUCUUCAUAAAACUUUGAGAUAAAAACAAGGAGAGGAGGAAUAAAAGGCGCAUGAUUCAUGUGAUAAAUAAUAAGUAUACAUACUCAGAGCAGCUGAUUUACUGAGCCAAGGCCAGUGUUCACCGGGAGGAUGUGGCGCCACCUUCUGUGAAUGAAAAACAUAAAUAUAGGAACCUACAACCAAAUUAAAUAGGCUACUAAUAAUAAUUAUAAAUUAAUA